ACCCUCCGGAUUCCUUACCCAUCAGCCUUAAACACUGGUCGGAGUGUUUAAACAAGGAGGAUAAGUAAAAUUGAAACUAAUUUACAUUCUUUUGUGACACACAAACUCUUUUCAGACAAAA
rnacentral:snoRNA from 1 species